GAUGGACAUGAUUUUGAGCAAGGUCUGAGAGUUGGAGGUGCAGUAGGAAGCCUUUUGUGCUACAGUCCGUGGAGUCGCAAAUAAUCGGACAGGACUGAGUGACUGAAAUGAACUGAACUGCCAGUAUUCUGGGAGUUUUCUAAGAACUAUGCAAAAGAGAUUUUAAUGACCCAGAUAACCAUGAUGAUGUCAUCACUCAAAGUUUCCUGGUGUAUCACAUAUGCUCACAAAUAUAAUCCUCUCAGAUGCCAGGAAGCACCUGACAGUUUCGUACUUGUACCUCAGGUUCCCUUUCAACCAUGACUGUUACUAGAGCUGGUGACAGGAAACACAGCUAAACCACUUCUAUCCUGCCAACAGCAUCAGACACACUUCUCCAGCUUGCUGAACCUGAGUCCCAGCCUGAGAGCUCCUGCCUCUGCAAAACAGACUGCUGCCCUGUCCACACCCCUGCUGUCUCUCACUCUGUGGGGAGCAGGCCCUAAUUCUACAGGGAAGAAAGUGUUCAUGCGCAGCCUUGACAAAAGCCGACGUCCCUUCUCAGAUCACCGUGAGGGGUCUCUGAGGCUCCUUUUUGGCUCAUUCAGCUGCGUCAUUCAGCCGACAGGUAUAAAACAUGCUACCCUCUGUCUCUCUCUUUAAGCAUUGCUAGAAAGCAGUCUUCAGGGGGGAAAAAAGUAGAAUACAUUCCAGGAGGUUAGUUAUGCCUCCACCUGUUGUGGCCACAUUUGAGGCAGGACAGAGUUAAUAGACUCAUACUGAUGGUUCAACCGACUUGUUCUAGAAUCACAGCUCUUUCUCCAGCUAUCCAUCCUGCAUUCUUGAAUGCCAUUUGUGCACUGAGCCCAAUAGAAAAAUGUUACAUCAGUCCUAGAAAAGGAAUUUGCCUGCUAAAUAGUGCUGAAAUUACAUAGCAAUUUAAAUCUUUCUUCAAAUCAACACCUUGUGCAGUUUACAGUACUGUACUGGUCCCACAUUAAAAUUACCUGGAUGAUUUUAACAAGAUGAGUUAAAUUAGAAUCUCUGAGGCUGCUGCUGAAGCCUCUGCAGAGAGAUGUUUUAGGACUGGUGAAUAUACAUU
rnacentral:lncRNA from 1 species